rnacentral:rRNA from 1 species
CUUAGCGGCCAUAGCGCGGUGGUCCCACCUGAUCCCAUGCCGAACUCAGAAGUGAAACGCCGUAGCGCCGAUGGUAGUG